AUGGAGUCCCCAAGGAGAAUGCUGACCCGAAACAUGGGGAGAACCUUGAAAAACUUGUCUGUACCAUGCACCUAUCUCUACAACAUCAGGACUCACUGCUGGCCACUAGUUAGCAGGAUUCAUCACUACCUUUGCUAUAAUCAGGAACAAAAGUCACAUAAUGGCUGCCACAGCUCCAGGCAUACCAUCUUUACCCAACAGUAUCCAAACGAGAAGAGAAGGAAAGGAAAGCCAAAAAGGACAUUCUACUUAUUCAACUCUCUUUUCAUUAGAGAAGAUUAGUUUCUAGAUGCCCUCAACUUCCUUUUUAGGAAAUCAUACCAGAAUAAUCUCUCCAAAGGUAAGAUGACAGAAGUGGCUUAGACUAAUCAUGACACACCCUUUGGAUUAGCUACAUUGCCAUGUAGAUUCUGCUACCAAGGAAAAUAUGUCCAAGGCCAAACAGAUAGCCAGUUACAAAGCUACAAGACAGGCAAUGGGUCCUUCAUUUCCUGACCAUUGGAAUGUUAUCCAUUAUCCUCUACCAUAUUCUUCUACCUUCACCAGGAGUUAAAUGUCCAUAAUAAAUUGUUAAAUAAGCCUGUAAUCUAUAUUUUUAAUGAGGUAGUAUUCACCUUAACCAUAGCAACUCUAAAGACUUUAGAUGGUUACCAAAAUGCAAAGCCAUAUAAUAAAUGGUGUAUUUUUAUUCAUUUGUUCAUUCAACAAAACUUUGAUACUACAUGCAAAACUUUGUCUAGGUAGUUAAUAUUUAUCAGGAGGAAAAUAGAUGAAGAGUCUUGUCCCUAAAGUACUAGUUGGAGGGACAAAUAAAUAAUAAUAAACAUUAAUGAGUUUUAAGCCCCUCUCUUUGGGAGGAUUACACUUUCUACAUUUCUUACCUCUGGCUUGGCCAUAUUAUUUGUUUUAGUUAAUGAAAUAUCAGUGGAAGUAAUGGAUGUUACUUCCAAGAAGAAACUUCAGAUCUUUUCUAUCAGGAGAAAGCCUGAAUCAGAAGGAAAAAGACACUGAAGUCAAGCCCAUGGAAAUAAAAUGUUUUUGUACGUGACUGAUUGAGAUCAUUUGUUACCAUAACAUGAUAGACUAAACUGAUAAAUACUGUAAAUUACAUAAAGAGAGCACAGACACUAAGUAUUGUGAAAAGAAAAAAAUAGUUGCACAAAAUAUGGAGGACAGUAUCAGUUAGCAGCAUUAAAUAGGGUGGUCAGAGUAGACCUCUUUGAGGAGAUCUGAAUUUGCAUUCUGGAAAAAAAAAUGUGAAGAAAUUUUUUCCAAGAAAAUAUCUGAGGAAGGAGUAUCCAGGUAGAAGGGCCAGCUGGAGGAAAGUUUCUCAGAUGAGAAGAUGCCUCCAAUAUUUGGGGGCUAUCAACACGUCUUCUGAGGCUGUAGCAAGAAAGGGGAAAGUAAUAGUAUGGGAAUUACAGGCUCAUGUAGUGGGGCUUAGGGCUCAUGAGAAAGACUUUGGCUAUCACUCUGAGCUAAAUGGGGAGGCAAGGCAGGGUUUCCAGCAGAGGAAUAGAAUAGUGCCACAGUGACACUAAAAAGUGUCACUUUGGCUGCUGUGUUAAUAGACUACUGUUAAAGGGUAAACAUGGAGCAGAGAGGCAAAUGAAGGGAAAAAUAAUUGAAAUAAUAUAAUUUUUGAAAUAGGUAUUUUCCAACUGACAGUUUGAUUUUAUUAAGGAUCUAGGAAAGAUUUUAUUCAAAACAUUUUUCAACAGAUUUAUAAAAAUAACAUAUAUUCUUAUAUUAAAAAUGUAAAACUAUAAUUUUUAAUCACUGAUAUAUUCAAUGAAUUUGUCUUAUAAUAUUUUUAAAUGAGAAAAAUACUAGACAUAUAAGUGUCAAAGUACUUAGAAAAUUCAGAUAAAAUUCUGCUAAGUGGAGGAGACCUAUUUAACAGUGUUAAUAGGCUAUUGUUGAAGGGUAAACAUGGAAUAGAGAGAGCAGUUAAAAGGCCACGGCAAGACUGCAGGCUAGAUAUGAUGGUCACUUGACCAAAAGUAGCCGAGGAGGUCAUAAGAUAUAGUAAGAUUCUGGAUCUAUGUUGAAAAUAGAGAACAUAAUAUGUAUGUGGAUUGGAUGUGGGAUGAAGAAAAAGAGAAGGCUCCAUGCCCCUCUGAUAGAGUGAACGUAAUACUUGCUCUCUCUAGUCAUGAGAAGCAUUCAACCUGCCAUUCCUGCUGACUGCUUUGUGUGACAGCCAUUUGUGUCCACUAGGCCUGUGAGAUACAAAAUGCCACCAGAUCACUAGUUGGAAGUGUCCAUGGCCACAGUGGUUUGUGAAAUACAAGUAGGUAUUAGAAACAUUCUAAGCAUAUAUAGAUGAGAGUAUACACAUUCCUGCUACAGUGGUUUUAUUAUGGAUAUUACCACAUGUCAUGUAUGGAAUGGCAUAAAUCUAAAACUAUUUGUUUUAUUAUUUUGUAAUGCUUUGUGAUAGCUUGCGAUAAAUUUCUUGGCCUCACUAAAGACAAAACAAAUUCAUGUUUAAUAAAAAAUACUGAAUGUUCAUUCCUCAAGAAAAUUGAUAAAUAUGCAACUUACACAAACUCAUUUACCACCCUCCCUGGGGAUCAUCAUGGUACCACAGGUCAAAUGAAAACCAGCACACAAAAAUAUAAUGAAGCAGCAUCAGUGUCUGCUAUAAGUCAGUUGUUAUUUGAGAAAAACUGUUACCAAAAAUGAUAAUAUGUGUACCUGCAAAUGUAGUUUUAUAUGUCAC
rnacentral:lncRNA from 1 species